GGAGUCAUGGAUCAAGUGGUAGAGUGCUUGGCUAGCAAGCAUGAGUCCUGAGUUCAAAUGUCAGUACCUCCA
rnacentral:tRNA from 1 species